rnacentral:rRNA from 1 species
AACGAACGCUGGCGGCAUGCCUAACACAUGCAAGUCGAACGAAGCCUUCGGGCUUAGUGGCGCACGGGUGCGUAACACGUGGGAAUCUGCCCUUAGGUACGGAAUAACUCAGGGAAACUUGAGCUAAUACCGUAUGAUGUCUUCGGACCAAAGAUUUAUCGCCUAAGGAUGAGCCCGCGUCGGAUUAGCUAGUUGGUGGGGUAAAGGCCUACCAAGGCGACGAUCCGUAGCUGGUCUGAGAGGAUGAUCAGCCACACUGGGACUGAGACACGGCCCAGACUCCUACGGGAGGCAGCAGUGGGGAAUAUUGGACAAUGGGCGAAAGCCUGAUCCAGCAAUGCCGCGUGAGUGAAGAAGGCCUUCGGGUUGUAAAGCUCUUUUACCCGGGAAGAUAAUGACUGUACCGGGAGAAUAAGCCCCGGCUAACUCCGUGCCAGCCGCCGCCGUAA